rnacentral:rRNA from 1 species
UACAUAGGUCCCGAGCGUUGUCCGGAUUUAUUGGGCGUAAAGCGAGCGCAGGUGGUUUAUUAAGUCUGGUGUAAAAGGCAGUGGCUCAACCAUUGUAUGCAUUGGAAACUGGUAGACUUGAGUGCAGGAGAGGAGAGAGGAAUUCCAUGUGUAGCGGUGAAAUGCGUAGAUAUAUGGAGGAACACCGGUGGCGAAAGCGGCUCUCUGGCCUGUAACUGACACUGAGGCUCGAAAGCGUGGGGAGCAAACAGG